rnacentral:lncRNA from 1 species
GAUUCCGCUUGCAAAGCGUCUCAAAGGCAGAAGUACAACCGGUGCAGCGCGUGGGGUCGUGUGCAGAGACGGGAGGCAAAAGCUGCGCUGCAUCCCCUGACCCAGAGGGCCGGAACUGCACGGGGCAUCGGGCUCCCCGGCGGGCUCCAGGGCGGCUGCCCCCGGGACGCGCCAGCCGCAAGCGCCAUCCGCCAGAGCAGCGGCGCCUCCCGCUGAAGCGCGGCAUGCUUAGCCCGGCAAAGCUCUCCCUGGCUGCGCGCGGGGCUGCUACUCUCGCUCCGCGAUCCGGGGCCCGCCGCCUUCGCCCGGCUUGGCUCGCCCCCAGGCCGCUCUCGGGCGCGCCUUCCCCUCGGGGCAAGGGACAAUCCUGCCUCGGCCUGCCGGGCUUCCUUUCUCCCCAGCACUCGAGGGAGACUCUCCUGCCCCGCCGCAGGGGGGCUCAGGCUGGAGAGGAAGGGGGGCCUGAGGCCCAGGACCCAGAGCGCAUCGCCGCUGCGGAAAUGGAGCCAAGGCGGGGUGGAAUCCGCAGGGACGGCCGGGCCAAGAGAGGGGCUACCUGGGGCGGCGGGGGGGGGGAUGCAUCACUGCAAAAGACGAGGAGGAAGACCCCUCCCGACACCCCCGAGACACCAAAGGGGGGACCCUCCCCCUUAGAGGCAGCCCCUGGGGCACUCCCCCCCCCAUCCUCCGCCAGCCAAGCAGCGCCCAGAGCGCCUGCCCUCGAGGGACACAGGCCCACAGCUGCCCAGGUUCGGGGGGGGGGAGGCGCCUCAGCCAAUUCCAGAAGGCGAGAGGGCACCGAGACUGACCGCUUCCCUCUCGGAGGAGGGCUGCUAUCUCCGGAGACCCCGGCAAAGACGCGCCGCCGCCCCCCCCCCCAUUCACGGCAGCGCUGAUGGAAACGGGAAGCGGAGCAGGAUGGCCAAGGGGACGGGGGGGGGCUCCUGAUGCGGGGCCAGCAUGAGAUUGUCGGGGGCACGUCAAGAGGGCAGAGGCCUCCCCCCUGCAAGGAGACUCUUCUGGUGCCCUCCCUUCAGAUUUCAAGGAAAUGAUCUGACUCUUCUUAGAAGACAUCUGAAGGCAGCCCUGCUCAGGGAAGUUUUAAAGGUUUGAGGUCUUACUAUGUUUUUAUAUCUACUGUAGGCCGCCCAGAGUGGCUAGGGAAACAGCUAGAAAGCGGGGUAUAAAUCAUAAAAUUAUUAGUAUUCUUCUUAAUUAUUAUUACUACUGCAGCACCCUACUCUCCAUCUACUGGCAGGCAAUAUUGCCCCAUGGGAUCCUUGUUCCAUGAAGCUGCUCCCCGCCAGGACUCUGGUCCAAAAAGUGGGGUCACCUGUGUCAGAGAUUUAAUGCAGACAAUUUCUCAUAGAUGCUUCACUGCCUGCUUUGCCUCUGUAUUGCUGUGCAAACUAUUAAACUCUGCUUGCAAGAGGCCGUGAGGAGAGAGUCAAGCUUCACGGAUUGGAAUGCAAGUCACACAACCGUUAGCCCCAAUCAGGGUCCCCAUCUAGGUGGCGCCAAGGGCCUCCCAUUCUCUCCCCCCCCCCCAUUUUCAAUAUUUUGCGGCCUGUGGCUGGCCCCGUCAAGCCUUCCCACAGCUGCGCCAGGCCUUGCGGCAUCUUCUCACUGUGUGACAUCACACACAUGGGCCUGCACACCCACCCAAAAGUUGGGCGGAACCUGGUACCUGUGGUCCCAUUGUUACUGUGUAAAUGCAUGUGGGUAGCAGGGAUCACUGUAAAGUAGGGUUGUCAGAUGUCCCCGGGGACUGUCCCCGGAUUUGCAGAUCUGUCCCCGGGAAACGGGUAGCGCCAGCCUCAGCCCUGGCUGGUGAGCCGACUGCGCUACCAGGCUGGCUCCGGGCUGCUGACUGCCGCUGCUGCCGCCACUGCCGAAGGGGAACCAGGGAUGUCCACUGGUACAGAUCUCCUUCCCCCUUCCCCCUUUGUUUUGACUGAUUGGGGGAGGCUUGGGAGUUGCUGGCAGGCGGCCGUUGCCCAGUUUUUAAUAAACUCUGCUCAUUUAUGUUGCACAGGGUGUGAAAGCUUUGCACCUUUAUACAAUAUGCAUGUGUGCUUGGGCCCAGGAUCUUUUGCCUCACCAUCCCCACUACAGACUCCCUGUUGCUACUCAACUUAAAAAAAAGAAAAAAAAGUGUCCCUGGAUUCAUUGAAGAAAAUCUGGUAACCAUACUGUAAAGCAUUCAAUAUCUACCUAACUCCCUAUCAAAAAGUCAUGGCCCCAGUCAUAUGGUAGCUUAAUUUCAGAGCUAAAAGUAUUUUUGAGAGAUUUUGAGCAUUUUUCGAUUUAAAAAAAAAUGAAUUUUAAACAAGUUUUACUGUUGCAAUUUCUGCUUUGGCCAAUAGAUGGCAGUGUUGUGAUGUGACGCAGCCAAGCUAUUGUAAAAGGAUCAAGCUUCUCGUUUUUUCUCUAUGCUUUAAAUUCAAUGCAGGUACCUUGGUUCUCAAACAACUUUGCACUCAAACAAUUUGAAACCCAAACACUGCAAACCCAUAAGUAAGUGCUCCAGUUUGCGAAUGUGCUGAAUGUGCUCCGUUUUGAGUGUUACGCUUCCAAUUUGAGUGCCACACUUCUGUUUUGAGUGUUAUGCUGAGGUCUGUCUGAUUUUGCUAUUUUGCGUUUUUGUUUUUGCGGUGCUUUUUUGUUUGUUUUUGUGACUGUGUGGAACCUAGUUCAGCUACUGAUUGCUGGAUUGUGUGACUGCAGUACAUUGUUUAUUGUUUUCAUUUUAUGGACCAAUGGUCUCGUUAGAUAGUAAAAAUUCAUGUUAAAUUGGGUUAAUUCAUUUUUUUUUUAUAAUAAUAUUUAUUGAUAAUUUCAAAAUUACAAGAAAAAUAAAAAAUGACAAACAACGCUACAAUACAAAAAAGGAAAAAGAAGAAGAACACAAUAAAAAAAGGAGAAAAGCGCAAAAUGAGAAAACCAAUAUAACAAUACAGCAAUAAAAAAGUAAAAAAGAAGAAAAAAAGAGAGAGAGAAAACGCAAAUCCCAAAUUGCAUAUCCAUAAUUUCCAUUUGCUUGUUUCAUUGACCUCCUCACACCUCCAUUUUUGUAUUCUAGUUUAGUAAUUAUUUCAGCAAAUUCUUUCCAUCUUUCUCAAUUUUUGUUAUAAAAUUUGUCUUAACAAUUUAACCUAGUAAUUAGCUCAACAAAUCCUUACCAUCUUUCCCCAUAUUCUAUUAUUCAGAUUACCUUAAUUUAUUUAUCCUUAUCUUACCCCUAAGUGCUUUAAAACUUAAAUCUUAAAUUUCAAAUAUACAUAACUCCUAAUAUCAUUUCUGCUAGAGUCGUAUAGUUUCAUUCCCACAUUUUCCCUAAUAUUCAUUAGCUGGUUCUAAAAUAAAAAAGUUUCCAUUAUAAAUUCUCUUCCAAUCAUCAUCCAGCGUCUCUUCUUCCUGGUCUCGGGUCAUGUCAGUCCUUAUUGUCCAUUCCGUCUAGUCCAUCAACCUGGAAGCCUUAUGUCCGAGGCCCUUAAAUCUCUUCCAUGUCCCUUCUGCAAUUCUUCUUCAUCUUGUUUGUGCUUGCCCUUUUCCUUGUCUCUUGUUGGUCUCUGUCUUAGUUUCUUUCCUUUCUCAUUGAGGAGUAGGUCUCUGGGGGAUUCCAACCCAAAAUUGUCUCCAUCACCCUUCAUCCAGCUCACCCAUUCCCCACAGUCCCACUCCCCACAGUCCUCGAUGUAAUCCAAAAUGAAUUUCAGAAUCUCUCCAAAGCUAGAAGUCUCCUCAUCUCCAGACAGCCCGCUCCAGCUUCAAUCUUCAAUAACAGUGGCUUAUGCUCCUGUAGGGCCUCGGGUCUCUCCAUUUGUACUAUUUGAGGUGCAGCCACAUCCUCCUCCAUUGUCAACUGCACUUGCCCAGUCGGUACAGAUUGAUAGAUUGGUUCUUAGAUGAUUUCUGUAUCAAUGUUAUUAACCACAACAGUCAAAUCCAUUUUCUCAUUCAUUAAGUCCAUCUUUUCAUGCAUCUGUUCCAGCAAAGCAUUUGUCUUGCAUAGAGCAAGCAACCAGUCUUUCUCCCAGCUCAUCUUUGUUCAAGGUCAAAAAAGUCUGUUCCCACAGUCUUAAUUUCACAGAUGUUGGGUCUCAAAUAUGCUGCAACAACAAUUUAGCAAGCUCCCUCUAGAGGAGACAAUCUACUUGUAGCCAUUUUUUUUUUUUAAAGACAAAGGAAAGUUACUUUCAUUUUUCAGAUGUUUCAGACGUUUUUCAGAUAUUUUGUUUCUUUAAGAUGCAAAAGGCAACAUUAGAAUCAACUUGUUUCUCUUCAUUAGCUAUCUGUCAAAGUGUUACGUUCACCGUCAAUGAACCUCAGCAACAGUUUCUGUCUCUGACACCCCGUUCCCAGGUUAGAGACGAUGGAAACUUAUCCUUCUUAACUCCCUCUCCUGGUAGAGUUAAACAGAGUCCCCCCCCCUUUUCUCCUGCUUCCAAGGGGGGUUUCAGUGGUUCUAAAUGAAGGAAAUUCAGUCCUUUUUUGACAGCUUCCCAGCUUUAGCUUGCAAAAUUUUUGCUUUAGUCUAUAUACAAGGAAACGGAAGGCGGACUUCCUGUUUACACCUUCCCGCUUCGUUACCAAAUUAAAACAAUUUCUUGAUCCAAUUUUCCGUUUCUACUCACGGGUACUUGUUUUAAGUCCAAUUGUCCACAGGAGAUAGUCAGCGGUCUCUGGCAAUGGCUGUGCGGCUUCACUCCGUGAAAGUAGCAGUCAGUUCGUAGCACCGCGCUUCUCACCCCACUUCGCUCCGGAGCCCCUAGAUGGGAUUCCCCGCGAGUAGGGGGGCGCUUCUGGUGCCCUGCCGAACCCCACGUUCCCAGGCUUCCUCCGCCUGGGAUUUCUAGCGGGUCCCCACCUUCGCCGCGGCGGGAAGACCCAGUUUUCACGGAGCCCGUUCCUCCGGUCGGAGGAACUCCGCCAUUCACCAAUGGUGCUGACCCGGAAGUCCUGGGUUAAUUCAUUUUGCAUUACCUUCUAUGGGAAAGCACACCUUGGUUUUGGAAUGCUUUGGUUUUGGAACGGACUUCUAGAAUGGGUUAAGUUUGAGAACCAAGGUACCACUGUACAGGCAGGAUUUUUUGAUUUUUGAAUUUUGAAUUUUUGUUUUUUGCAUCCUGAGAAAGUUUUGAAAUACUAGCAUUUUUGCAUUCUAUUUGUGCAUUUAAAAAAUAAUAAUUUUUGGAAGCUUUUUUUCCCCCUUUUUCAUUUUUUAAUGUAUUAAGAAAUCAAAACCCGAUAGAGGUGAAGACUCAAAGUCCUGGGGGAACCAAAACAAGUGAGCAGUGUUUAUCAUCUUCAGAAAUUUCACAGGGCCCCAGAUGAUUUACACCAAAGAAGGUAAGAGGCAAAGAUGCUCCAAAACUUAGAAAAAGCAUAUGGAUUCACAAGCGUAUGCAUUGUAUAUUUGUGAGAGAUUUCUUUAAUCUGAGGCUUGAAUCCAAGAAGGAUUGUAAUGAGCAUGUGACAACCCCAGCCCUAACCCUCACCCCACC